UUCCUUGUGGCUCAGCUGGUAAAGCAUCUGCCUGCAGUGCAGGAGACCUAGGUUCGAUUCCUGGGUUGGGAG
rnacentral:tRNA from 1 species